UUGAAAUCACCUAGUAUUAUAGGAUCUUAAAGUGAGGUAGCAAAACCUACAUGCUACAUCACUGUGCUCCAGGUUCCCAGCUUUUUGAAGGUGGGAUUUGGUAAUUGCAGCAGCUGUCUUUGAGUUUCUGCUCCUUGAUGGAUUGUAACCUGGAAUGGUGAGAAAAACAAACAACCCAUCCAUCCUUUCCUUCCACAAGUUUCUUGCAGUCAAGGUAGGCAGAGGAUUUUG